rnacentral:rRNA from 1 species
UACGGAGGGUGCGAGCGUUGCUCGGAAUUAUUGGGCGUAAAGCGUACGCAGGCGGCUCGGCAAGUCGAGUGUGAAAUCCCGGGGCUCAACUCCGGAACUGCAUUCGAUACUGCCGGGCUUGAGUGCGGGAGAGGGAAGCGGAAUUCCUGGUGUAGAGGUGAAAUUCGUAGAUAUUCGGAAGAACACCAGUGGCGAAGGCGACUUACUGGACACAUAUUGACGCUGAGGUGCGAAAGCGUGGGGAGCAAACAGG